rnacentral:misc_RNA from 1 species
GAUGAAGAACGCAGCGAAAUGCGAUACGUAAUGUGAAUUGCAAAUUCAGUGAAUCAUCGAGUCUUUGAACGCACAUUGCGCCCCCUGGUAUUCCGGGGGGCAUGCCUGUCCGAGCGUCAUUACUGCCCUCAAGCCCGGCUUGUGUGUUGGGCCCCGUCCUCCGAUCCCGGGGGACGGGCCCGAAAGGCAGCGGCGGCACCGCGUCCGGUCCUCGAGCGUAUGGGGCUUUGUCACCCGCUCUGUAGGCCCGGCCGGCGCUUGCCGAUCAACCCCAAUUUUUAUAGGUUGACCUCGGAUCAGGUAGGGAUACCCGCUGAACUUAAGCAUAUCAAAAGCGGAGGA